rnacentral:rRNA from 1 species
UACGGAGGGUGCAAGCGUUAUCCGGAUUCACUGGGUUUAAAGGGUGCGUAGGCGGGUAUAUAAGUCAGUGGUGAAAGCUCCGGGCUUAACUUGGAAACUGCCAUUGAUACUGUAUAUCUUGAAUGUCGUUGAGGUUAGCGGAAUGUUGCAUGUAGCGGUGAAAUGCUUAGACAUGUUACAGAACACCAAUUGUGAAGACAGCUAACUAAGCGAUGAUUGACGCUGAGGCACGAAAGCGUGGGGAGCAAACAGG